rnacentral:rRNA from 1 species
GACAGAGGGUGCUAGCGUUGUUCGGAAUUACUGGGCGUAAAGGGCGCGUAGGCGGCUCGUUUAGUCGGGUGUGAAAUCCCGGGGCUCAACCCCGGAACUGCAUUCGAUACUGGCGGGCUAGAGACCGGAAGAGGUGGGUGGAAUACCCAGUGUAGAGGUGAAAUUCGUAGAUAUUGGGUGGAACACCGGUGGCGAAGGCGGCUCUCUGGACCAGCACUGACACUGAGGCACGAAAGCGUGGGGAGCAAACAGG